ACUCGCUAAACAACAACAGUAGCCAACAAGACAAAAGCUACAAGCUAACGGUGAAAAUGUUGAAUGAACGUCUCCUGAACAAAGGUGUAGUCAGUGAAUGCAGCACCAUACAGACAGUGAUGGAGAUGAGCCACAUCACAUGGACUGUGAAAGGAAUGACACUUCCAGUGUCAGUAUGGACUUUCAUAUUAGAUGUUCUGCUGCCUCAGUGGAUGAGAUGAUGGAGAUGGAGGAACAUCCUACAGAACUGAUACCAACACCUCCUCUGUGCUGAUGCUGCUGGAUUUCCUGCCUGCGAGGAUGAAGUCCUGGAAAUGGAGGACCUUCAUACAGACCUACUGAUGCUGCUGGGUUUUGACGACGACAGCGGCUGGCCCCUGACUCAAGUUAUGUUAUUUGUUGCCCCUGUGGGUAAGAAAUAGCAUUUCUUGGGUGUGAAAGGGGGGGUGCAGAAGUGUUUUUUUCACCUGUUUUCUGUCUUUUUCAAUAAAAAAUUUUGUACACCCCCCUGCUUUCCAUGUGAGGGCUCAUUAUGAGUCCCUAGUUUCAUCGCGCCCUUACUGAGCAAGCCCAGGAAUCGAACCACCGGCCAGCCUCACAGUAGACAGUUGUAUUUGCCCCACCGACCUUCUAACUGAGCUAUCUGUGAGCUACUAAUGAAGUGUUCGGAACUUGUAUUUAUUGUGUGUUUUUUGGACCUGAACGUGUGUAAAAGUUCAAGCAUUCUCUGUGGGUCUUGAACUAACUACCUUUGAGUGCAGGGGAUGAGUCUUGCACUAGUUUUAACCACUGAGCUAUUCUAUCAGCUGAUACUACAAAUUUGGAAGUUGUAUUUAUUGUGUUUGCUUCCGCUCCUCUGUUUUUUGGGUGAAAAGCAAGUACCUGAGCGGGACUUGAUCUCACAACCCUCGAAACUAUAGUGAAAGUGUGCUUUUUGCCUGAUGCUUAGACCACUGAGCUAAACUCAAGGUUGGGAAGUUGGAGUCAAUUUCCAAGUAUAAGAAAUGUAUACAGCUGAAACCCUGAGGAGCGAGAAGGGACGGAAAUUUUGAAAAAAUAGAUCCCGGUGUGGGAUUUGAACCCACAAUCUCAAAAGUUGUAGGGUUGUGUGACAUUUGCCCCAUUUCUUAACCACUGUGCUACAGCUGAAUUGCUGAUGUGAGAGGUUUUUUUUUGGUAUUUGAGGCAUAAACUUGAACUGUGAGGACUGACUCUGCUCCAUCUCCAAGUAGGGUCUAGGCCUUUGGCUCAAAGAGGUCAGGAAGGGGAACUGAACCAGACUGAAAGUCAUGUGAAGUCUGUGAUACAGACAACUCACCACCACACCAGUCUAACCUGCCAUGUGAUAGAGUCUGCAAUGACUGUUACCCAAAAAAUAAUAAGUGGACAAAUCAACUAAUACUAACUAGUAAAAUCUCAGUGCUCUAAAACUGGUACAGGACUUUACAGAAACACUUCACAAAAAAAUAUAUGCGGGUAACACAUUAAACCUCUGACAGCACUAUGAACAUCAGUCUUCAUGGAGAAAACACUGAACCAGUUCAAUAAUCCAAAUCCAAUUUUAUUUAUAAAGCAUCAAAUCAUAACAGAAGUCAUGUCAGGACACUUUCCAUUCAGAGCUGGUGUUGACCAGACUCUAUCACAUGGCAGGUUAGGCUGGUGUGGUGGUGAGUUGUCUGUAUCACAGACUUCACAUGACUUUCAGUCUGGUUCAGUUCCCCUUCCUGACCUCUUUGAGCCAAAGGCCUAGACCCUACUUGGAGAUGGAGCAGAGUCAGUCCUCACAGUUCAAGUUUACGCCUCAAAUACCAAAAAAAAACCCCUCUCACAUCAGUAAUUCAGCUGUAGCACAGUGGUUAAGAAAUGGGGCAAAUGUCACACAAUCCUACAACUUUUGAGAUUGUGGGUUCAAAUCCCACACCGGGAUCUAUUUUUUCAAAAUUUCCGUCCCUUCUCGCUCCUCAGGGUUUCAGCUGUACACAUUUCUUAUACUUGGAAAUUGACUCCAACUUCCUAACCUUGAGUUUAGCUCAGUGGUCUAAGCAUCAGGCAAAAAGCGCACUUUGACUACAGAUUUAAAGGUUGUGAGAUCAAGUCCUGCUCUGGUAUUUACUUUUCACUCAAAAAACAGAGGAGCGGAAGCAAACACAAUAAAUACAACUUCCAAAUUUGCAGUAUCAGCUGAUGGAAAAGCUCAGUGGUUAAAACUAGUACAAUACUCAUCCCCUGCACUUGUAGGUAGUUAGUUCAAGACCCACAGAAAACACUUGAGCUAUUACAUAUUUUCAGGUCCAAAAAACACACAAUAAAUACAAGUUCCAAACACUUCAUCAGUAGCUGACAGAAUAGCUCAGUGUUUAAGACCAGUAUGAGACUCAUCCCCUGCACUGAAAGGGAGCUAGUUCAAGACCUGCAAAGAACAUUUAAGCUUUUACACAACUCACCACCACACCAGCCUAAUCUGCCAUGUGAUAGUCUGCAAUGACUGUUACUCAAAAAAUAAUAAGUGGACAAAUCAACUAAUACUAACUAGUAAAAUCUCAGUGCUCUAAAACUGGUACAGGACUUUACAGAAACACUUCACAAAAAAAUAUAUGCGGGUAACACAUUAAACCUCUGACAGCACUAUGAACAUCAGUCUUCAUGGAGAAAACACUGAACCAGUUCAAUAAUCCAAAUCCAAUUUUAUUUAUAAAGCAUCAAAUCAUAACAGAAGUCAUGUCAGGACACUUUCCAUUCAGAGCUGGUGUUGACCAGACUCCGUCACAUGGCAGGUUAGACUGGUGUGGUGGUGAGUUGUCUGUAUCACAGACUUCACAUGACUUUCAGUCUGGUUCAGUUCCCCUUCCUGACCUCUUUGAGCCAAAGGCCUAGACCCUACUUGGAGAUGGAGCAGAGUCUGUCAUCACAGUUCAAGUUUAUGCCUCAAAUACCAAAAAAAAACCUCUCACAUCAGCAAUUCAGCUGUAGCACAGUGGUUAAGAAAUGGGGCAAAUGUCACACAACCCUACAACUUUUGAGAUUGUGGGUUCAAAUCCCACACCGGGAUCUAUUUUUUCAAAAUUUCCGUCCCUUCUCGCUCCUCAGGGUUUCAGCUGUACACAUUUCUUAUACUUGGAAAUUGACUCCAACUUCCCAACCUUGAGUUUAGCUCAGUGGCCUAAGCAUCAGGCAAAAAGCACACUUUCACUACAGAUUUGAGGGUUGUGAGAUCAAGUCCCGCUCAGGUACUUGCUUUUCACCCAAAAAACAGAGGAGCGGAAGCAAACACAAUAAAUACAACUUCCAAAGUUGUAGUAUCAGCUGAUAGAAUAGCUCAGUGGUUAAAACUAGUGCAAGACUCAUCCCCUGCACUCAAAGGUAGUUAGUUCAAGACCCACAGAGAAUGCUUGAACUUUUACACACGUUCAGGUCCAAAAAACACACAAUAAAUACAAGUUCCGAACACUUCAUUAGUAGCUCACAGAUAGCUCAGUCAGAAGGUCGGUGGGGCAAACACAACUGUCUACUGUGAGGCUGGCCGGUGGUUCGAUUCCUGGGCUUGCUCGGUAAGGGCGCGAUGAAACUAGGGACUCAUAAUGAGCCCUCACAUGGAAAGCAGGGGGGUGUACAAAAUUUUUUAUUGAAAAAGACAGGAAACAGGUGAAAAAAACACUUCUGCACCCCCCUUUCACACCCAAGAAAUGCUAUUUCUUACCCACAGGGGCAACAAAUAACAUAACUUGAGUCAGGGGCCAGCCGCUGUCGUCGUCAAAACCUGGAAGAAAAACAACACAAAAACUUACACUCAACAUAACCUUCAAAAAACACACCAAUAGCAUUACACAGACAAUUCAGUUCAGUUACAUCACAUUAGGAAAACUACUCAAUGGCUUCAAAACACAACCAAUACAAAUACACUUUCAAAAAACACAAGACAUAUUCAUGGAACCUCAAAUACUAAACAAACACUGAUCAUUAUUCUAAAACACCAGCUCGUCAUCAUCUCCUGCUCCAUAACCCCUCCCUGACACAUCUCACGAAACGCGGAGGGGUCUAGGCCCCCUCCGCCCCUCCCUCUCCGUCCGCUCCCGAUACUCAGCUCCCACGAGUCUUGAACCUUCAACCUGCCGAUGACAGGCGGCCGGACAACAACCAAGGACCAAGCCACUGAGCCACCGAGCACCGGGGCACUAACACCUCCUGUCUCACUGCUUUUCACACAACUGCACAGGACCACAGGCCCAACAACACAUAGAAUCAAACAAAAACAUCACAUUUCCAUCUCAUCUGUUUCACUGGAACAAAUUCACUCAGCUUUUACACAACACUAAUCUCUCACACAUUAACACUCACAACCACACUGUACAAAACCUCACACUCCUCUAAAACCCUUCCAAAUAAAACAUACUAUUUCAUCCAAUUUAACUCAGACAGUGGAGAAAACAUCAGGAAUGCGUAUUUCUGGAAACCAACAGUCAACCUGGACUAUGUCUGCAUUAGAAACCAAAUCAAACUUACAAAUCUGGGAAGAACAACCAUUUCACAAACUACACACCUGCUACUACUACCUCAAUUCAUCAAAUAAACCAUCUGACAAAAACAGGACAAAAUGUGUCUCAUCCAUUUAACUGGGCCUUUAUGGGACAAAUUCACAGUCAGUAUCUGAGUCAUUAAACACACACAACCAGACUGUAGAAAACCUGGAUAAAUGUAACUCUCACAAAUGCUAGAAAAAAACUAUUCAGUAAACAGUUGGACAAAUUCAUAGAUAAAAAACUACUAGAUAAUAACUCAUAGAUAAUAAACUACUCACUCAAAGUCAAUACUGAUUCAGACCAAACAGAGCAACUUCACUGGUAUUAAUAGAGUCAACAGAGGAAACUACCACCUCAAUAGAACAAAACCAUCACACAGUUGGAGCAUUCACUGACCUCACAAAAGCUUUUCAGUAAUAAAGAUAAAAUAUCUCACCCAGCAGCAUCAGUAGGUCUGUAUGAAGGUCCUCCAUUUCCAGGACUUCAUCCUCGCAGGCAGGAAAUCUACAAGUGGGACAAAAGAAUUACUGACAUUACUUUGACAUCCUACAGAGAACAUGUGGAAUGAGAAAGACCAUCCAUUCUAUGAAAGGUUUUUGCUGCGCCGACAUUCUGUCACUCUAUUCCUGUGUCUGUGUGCUGCACACUGCCCAAAUACCUGGCCCCUCCCCCUCACACACAGACCAGCAAAGUGCAUCAACACCUCUUACACUCACUCGGCUGCAGCAGAGAAGAGAGAAAACGGCAAAAGAAACUGCACUUAUUUUACUCCAUGCUAAGCUGUGACUUUGUAAAACAAAUGCUACACUUUAAUGUCCCAUGAGAAAAACAUCCUUGCGGAAACACGCUGUCAGGGUACUAGUUUUUUUUACGCAAGUUUUAAAGAGCGUAUUACAGCGCUUUAACGUUGUGUAAGUGGCAUCUCAGUGAAAUAAACAAAGACAUAUGCAACUGUUAAUCAACAUGUACACCAUGUUACACAGUGUUUUAAAGUUGGGUAAAUUAUCUUUGUGAGAUAAACUCUUUGUGAGAUGCAACUGUUAAUCAACAUGUUCAAUAUCUAAUAUCAGACUAUUACACGGCGUUUUAAAGUUAUGUGAGUUGCAUCUUUGUGAAAUAAACAUAUAUGCAACUGGUAACUCCCAUGUCCAUCAUUAAUAUCAGACAGCGUCCCACUUCAUACUGUCAUGCAGGAUUUACUGGGGCUCAUAAAUUCACAAUGUCUUCAUUAAAAUAAUUUUGAAAAGGUUCCAAGUUGUAGUUGUAAUUUCAUGUUUUGAGAGCAGCUACAUUGUUACAUAAAAUGUAGUUUAGUCCCUUGUAUUAAGUCUAAUAAUGUGAUGCAUGUUUGAUUAUUUCUUAUUUUGUUUGUAGACAACUUUUUUUUCACUUUUUAAUGUUUGCUUCAGCAUUUAUUUUUGAGCUGUUUGCAAAUACCCAGUGGCUGCAGAUGGAACUUUUCAUUUGCUGGUAAAUAUGACUAAAUGAUAUUGAUAAGAUGUUUUUGUGAAUAAGCCUUUUAAAAACACCUCACAUUAGCCUAUGUAUUAUCACUUUCAGCUAAAUGCAGCCACUUGUUUUCAUUUUAAAACGGCCAACUAUUCAAUCAAAUUCUAUG